GAUGAAGAACGUAGCGAAAUGCGAUAAGUAAUGUGAAUUGCAGAAUUCAGUGAAUCAUCGAAUCUUUGAACGCACAUUGCGCCCGCUAGUAUUCUGGCGGGCAUGCCUGUCCGAGCGUCAUUUCAACCCUCAAGCCCCUCCGGGGGCCUGGCGUUGGGGAUCGGCCCCGCUCCGGCGGCCGGCCCCGAAAUGUAGUGGCGGUCUCGCCGCUGCCUCCUCUGCGUAGUAGAAACACCUCGCAUUGGGACGCGGCGGGCCCACGCCGUUAACCAGAUGAAUUUUUUCAAGGUUGACCUCGGAUCAGGUAGGAAUACCCGCUGAACUUAAGCAUAUCAAUAAGCGGGGA
rnacentral:misc_RNA from 1 species